UAAGGAGUCUUCCACAAUGGACGCAAGUCUGAUGGAGCAACGCCGCGUGAGUGAAGAAGGUUUUCGGAUCGUAAAGCUCUGUUGUUGGUGAAGAAGGAUAGAGGUAGUAACUGGCCUUUAUUUGACGGUAAUCAACCAGAAAGUCACGGCUAACUACGUGCCAGCAGCCGCGGUAAUACGUAGGUGGCAAGCGUUGUCCGGAUUUAUUGGGCGUAAAGCGAGCGCAGGCGGAAGAAUAAGUCUGAUGUGAAAGCCCUCGGCUUAACCGAGGAACUGCAUCGGAAACUGUUUUUCUUGAGUGCAGAAGAGGAGAGUGGAACUCCAUGUGUAGCGGUGGAAUGCGUAGAUAUAUGGAAGAACACCAGUGGCGAAGGCGACUCUCUGGUCUGCAACUGACGCUGAGGCUCGAAAGCAUGGGUAGCGAACAGG
rnacentral:rRNA from 1 species